UACGUAGGGGGCAAGCGUUGUCCGGAAUUAUUGGGCGUAAAGCGCGCGCAGGCGGUUCUUUUAAGUCUGGUGUCUAAGUGCGGGGCUCAACCCCGUGAUGCACUGGAAACUGGGGAACUUGAGUGCAGAAGAGGAGAGCGGAAUUCCACGUGUAGCGGUGAAAUGCGUAGAGAUCCGGAGGAACACCGACGGCGAAGGCAGCGCCCUGGCCGCCAUCUGACGCUCAGGCACGAAAGCUGGGGGAGCGAACAGG
rnacentral:rRNA from 1 species